GAGUAACACGUGGACAAUCUGCCCCCCGGCCCGGGAUAGCCCUAGGGAAACCUGGAUUAAUACCGGAUGAGACGGGACCCGCGAUGGCGGGACCCGGGAAAGGCGCUGCGGCGCCGCCGGGGGAUGAGUCUGCGUCCCAUUAGCUAGACGGCGGGGUAACGGCCCACCGUGGCGACGAUGGGUAGCCGGCCUGAGAGGGUGGACGGCCACAUUGGAACUGAGACACGGUCCAGACUCCUACGGGAGGCAGCAGCUAAGAAUCUUCCGCAAUGGGCGAAAGCCUGACGGAGCGAACCGCCGCGUGAACGAAGAAGGCCGUGAGGUUGUAAAGUUCUUUUCGGGAGGGGGAACAACCGUGGCAGGGAAUUGGCCGCGGGAUGACGUGAAUCCCGGAAUAAGCCCCGGCUAACUACGUGCCAGCCGCCGC
rnacentral:rRNA from 1 species